rnacentral:tRNA from 2 species
AUGGGUAUGCUGAAAAUUGGUAGCCAGGUUCCCUUUAGAUUGGAAUAGUAAACUUAGACUUUGCAAGUUCAAGUCUUGUUACCCAUA